UACGUAGGUGGCAAGCGUUGUCCGGAAUUAUUGGGCGUAAAGCGCGCGCAGGUGGUUCCUUAAGUCUGAUGUGAAAGCCCACGGCUCAACCGUGGAGGGUCAUUGGAAACUGGGGAACUUGAGUGCAGAAGAGGAAAGUGGAAUUCCACGUGUAGCGGUGAAAUGCGUAGAGAUGUGGAGGAACACCAGUGGCGAAGGCGGCAUCCUGGACCAUUACUGACGCUGAGGCGCGAAAGCUAGGGGAGCAAACGGG
rnacentral:rRNA from 1 species